rnacentral:rRNA from 1 species
GACGGUGAGGGACGAAGGCCUCUGGGCUGUAAACCUCUUUUCUCAAGGAAGAAGACAUGACGGUACUUGAGGAAUAAGCCACGGCUAAUUCCGUGCCAGCAGCCGCGGUAAUACGGGAGUGGCAAGCGUUAUCCGGAAUUAUUGGGCGUAAAGCGUCCGCAGGCGGCCCAGAAAGUCUGUUGUUAAAAAGUGGAGCUCAACUCCAUCCAGGCAAUGGAAACUACUGGGCUAGAGUGUGGUAGGGGCAGAGGGAAUUCCCGGUGUAGCGGUGAAAUGCGUAGAUAUCGGGAAGAACACCAGUGGCGAAGGCGCUCUGCUGGGCCAUAACUGACGCUCAUGGACGAAAGCCAGGGGAGCGAAAGGGAUUAGAUACCCCUGUAGUCCUGGCCGUAAACGAUGAACACUAGGUGUCGGGGGAAUCGACCCCCUCGGUGUCGUAGCCAACGCGUUAAGUGUUCCGCCUGGGGAGUACGCACGCAAGUGUGAAACUCAAAGGAAUUGACGGGGGCCCGCACAAGCGGUGGAGUAUGUGGUUUAAUUCGAUGCAACGCGAAGAACCUUACCAGGGCUUGACAUCCUGCGAACCCCUGAGAGAUCGGGGGGUGCCUUCGGGAACGCAGUGACAGGUGGUGCAUGGCUGUCGGCAGCUCGUGUCGUGAGAUGUUGGGUUAAGUCCCGCAACGAGCGCAACCCACGUCUUUAGUUGCCAGCAUUCAGUUGGGCACUCUAGAGAGACCGCCGGUGAUAAACCGGAGGAAGGUGUGGAUGACGUCAAGUCAUCAUGCCCCUUACGUCCUGGGCUACACACGUACUACAAUGCUACGGACAAAGGGCAGCAAACUCGCGAGAGCUAGCAAAUCCCAUAAACCGUGGCUCAGUUCAGAUCGUAGGCUGCAACUCGCCUACGUGAAGGAGGAAUCGCUAGUAAUCGCAGGUCAGCAUACUGCGGUGAAUACGUUCCCGGGCCUUGUACACACCGCCCGUCACACCAUGGAAGUUGGCCAUGCCCGAAGUCGUUACUCCAACCCGUAAGGGAGGAGGACGCCGAAGGUGGGGCUGAUGACUGGGGUGAAGUCGUAACAAGGUAGCCGUACCGGAAGGUGCGGCUGGAUCACCUCCUA